rnacentral:rRNA from 1 species
GACGAACGCUGGCGGCGUGCUUAACACAUGCAAGUCGAACGGAAAGGCCCUGCUUUUGUGGGGUGCUCGAGUGGCGAACGGAUGAGUAACACAUGAGUAACCUGCCCUUGACUUUGGGAUAACUUAAGGGAACGGGGGCUAAUACCGGAUAGGAGCUCCUGCUGCAUGGUGGGGAUGGGAAAGGGUCGGCGGUUGGGGCUGUACUCGCGGCUUAUCCGCUUGUUGGGGGGGUAGUGGCUUACCAAGGCUUUGACGGGUAGCCGGCCUGAGAGGGUGACCGGCCACAUGGGGACUGCGAGACGGCGCAGAAUCGUACGGGAGGCAGCAGUGGGGAAUAUUGCACAGCGGGGGGACGCCUGAUGCAGUGACGCCGCGUGCGUGAUGACGGCCUUUGGGUGGUGAACCGCUUUCGCCUGUGAUGAAGCGUGAUUGACGGUAAUGGGUAAAGAAGCACCGGCUAACUACGUG